GGCCGGGGCGGCGGGCGGGGGCUCUCUCUCCCUUGGCCUGAAGCGAGCUGGCCCCGCCGGGGAAACUGAGGCCCGGGUGGCGUUGGCCCGGGUCGCUGCGGAGGGCCCGGAGGCGGGGCCCACCCCCGGGGAAGCAGCGGGACCGAUGAUCCCAGAUGCGCGGCGGGGAGGCCGCUCGGUCCCCGACGGGGAAACUGAGGCCCGCAGAGGCCGCGUGACCUGCGCUCGGCGCCCCGCCCCGGAGGAGGGAGGUGGGGGGAAUCGGACCCCGGGAGGUGUCUCCGGGGGCCGUUCCCGGAGCGCGUGGUCGGCGCUGCGGGCGCCUGGCUGCGGGCCGCCCCGCCGAGCGCUCCCGCCUGCUUUCCCGAUGUCGAGACGGGACGGCUGUGUACCUGGCCCGGGCCUGACAGCCCCGGGCAGACUUUCGUGACCUGAGCCUGCGCUUUUGUGCUUCCCCGGAGUGGGGGUUGGGGGGCGGGUUUAGGCCCGCCUGUGGCCAGGUGUUGCCUUCUCCUUUAGGCCAGCGUUUCCCAAACCGUGUGGUGCGGCAGGGGACUGCUUGUUCAACGUACAGUGUUUCAGGCUCCUCGCCCCGGAGGUUCCUAGUUAGCAGGUCUAGGAUGGGGCCCGUGUUCCCCUGCUCCAGGCCCACAGGGAAAGCGGGGGUCUGGUUCGACCCUUUCCUAUUUUACAGGUGGGAAAAAUGAAGCCAGGGGAAGCGCAGGCCAGCUGUGGCCCUGACAUCCUGACAGUUGCCCCUGGGCCAGCUCCCACGGAGCAGGAAGAGGGAGGUGUGGGAUGGUGGAGGCCCUGCAGGUGGUGAGGAUUUAUUGAGCACUUUCUAGGUGCUCCUAGUACUUUAUCUCUGGCCCGCAUGCUCCCCACAGUCGCCUGGGUGGUGGGUGGUGGGUGGAGGCUGUUCUCGUCUCAAAGCCAGACUCAGUCCUGCCUUUGCCAGCAGUGGGGACCCCUGGGAGGAGGGGGCCAGGGGAAGGAGUCUAUGGGCAUCAUCCCAGCCACAGAGGAAGGAAGUGGGCUCAAGUCAGGUUGGGAGCAGAGAGCAAUGCCUGGGCCCAGAAGGCGAGAAAAGGUAGGGAGGUGCGGCUUCCAGAAGCGAGGGAGGAGGGAGAAAUAAAACGAAACCUCAGCUGUGAGCACCCGCUGGGGGAGCCGACACUUGCCUCACUCUAGCCUCCCGGAAGUCCUGCUUCUGCCUUUUCUGGCUUUCUGCAGCCCCAGCUCCGUUCUCGACCGUGACCACGGCAGGAGGCGGCUGGGGGCCUGACAGCUCACCGGCCUGAGUUAGUUGCCUGCAGCCCCUUGCGGCUGGUAUGAGCCCAGGACAGGCCCUGGGACCCAGGCUUUCCCCAGAGCAGCCUGCCCGGAGCCGAGGGGGACCUGGGGCUGGGCGGUCUGCAUAGCCAGCUGUUCUGGGCCUCUCUUCCUGGGGCCAGCACAGGGCCUGGGGCCUGGCCAGGUGUGCCCGCUUCCUGGCCGUGUGGCCUUGGACCCGGAGCACCCUGAUCUCUUGCAGCUGUCACCGGGCUGGGGAGGACCUGCCUCAGCACAAGAAUCCGGUGGUGACAAGGUGGGGAGACCGAGGCUUGCAGCCAGGAUGUGACGUUUGAGCAGAGACCCGACUUCCAAGAGGGGGCAAGCCAGGGCAGGUGUGGUGGCGGCGGGCUCCACCAGGGCCCAGAGAGAGCCUGGACCUUGCCGCCGGCCCCGAGCCGAGGGGAGCCCCGAGCAGACGCCUGCUGUCGUCUGUGACAUGGCCACGCUAAGGGCUUGAUUGCCAGCGUCCUAACCGAGGCCGUCGCAGCCACCUGCAGCCACACUGGCCCGUGUCCGCGGCCCUCUCUCCCCUGGGGGCUGCACCAGGCCGUGAGAGCCCUGGCCCGUCCACAGAGCUUCACGCGGC